GACGACCGCUGGCGGCGUGCUUAACACAUGCAAGUCGAACGGAAAGGCCCUGCUUUUGUGGGGUGCUCGAGUGGCGAACGGGUGAGUAACACGUGAGUAACCUGCCCUUGACUUCGGGAUAACUUCAGGAAACUGGGGCUAAUACAGGAUAGGAGCUCCUGCUGCACGGUGGGGGUUGGAAAGUUUCGGCGGUUGGGGAUGGACUCGCGGCUUAUCAGCUUGUUGGUGAGGUAGUGGCUUACCAAGGCUUUGACGGGUAGCCGGCCUGAGAGGGUGACCGGCCACAUUGGGACUGAGAGACGGCCCAGACGCCUACGGGAGGCAGCAGUGGGGAAUAUUGCACAAUGGGCGGAAGCCUGAUGCAGCAACGCCGCGUGCGGAAUGACGGCCUUCGGGUUGUAAACCGCUUUCGCCUGUGACGAAGCGUGAGUGACGGUAAUGGGUAAAGAAGCACCGGCUAACUACGUG
rnacentral:rRNA from 1 species